UGUUGAUGUUGAUUUCCACAUAAGAUAGACAAAUUAUGUGUAGCUGUGAUUAAAAGGUUGCGUGCUGGCUCCUACUCCCUUAUAUGAGAUGAAAA
rnacentral:snoRNA from 1 species